AUGAAAAAUUUGGAGAGAAGUGCGUCGAUUGAAAAAGGCAUGAUUCCGAAAGAUGCAAAAGAGUCUGAAUAUGGAUGGGACUGCGUUUGAAUCAUUACGGUGUCUCUGUUGAUGUUUCCUGUGAUGUAUCUACAAGUAGGCCUAGUAUUCAAAAAAUGCAAGCUAGGAUCAUCUUUAUGAGACUAGGCCACUCAAUACAGAGAAUAAAUGAAUGCACUUGGACAUGGAAAUGUUACAUCUGAACCACCUACUGCUUCUGCUGCAAUGUCAUCUUCAACUCUUCUCCUACCUUCAUUAGCUAUUAUUUUCCUCGGUUCACUGUGAGUGGUGUCAGUGCAGUCAUCUUGCUUAGCAGUUUGAUUACUCUUGGCUACAUCGACGAGGAUGAAGAAAGGCACAACUU